UCAUCGUCCACUCGAUCGCCCGGUCUUUGU
rnacentral:sRNA from 1 species